GAUGAACGCUGGCGGCGUGCCUAAUACAUGCAAGUCGAGCGAACGGACGAGAAGCUUGCUUCUCUGAUGUUAGCGGCGGACGGGUGAGUAACACGUGGAUAACCUACCUAUAAGACUGGGAUAACUUCGGGAAACCGUAGCUAAUACCGGAUAAUAUUUUGAACCGCAUGGUUCAAAAGUGAAAGACGGUCUUGCUGUCACUUAUAGAUGGAUCCGCGCUGCAUUAGCUAGUUGGUAAGGUAACGGCUUACCAAGGCAACGAUGCAUAGCCGACCUGAGAGGGGGGUCGGCGACACUGGAACUGGGACAGCGUCAAGACGACUGAGGGAGGCCGCAGUAGGGAAUCUUCCGCAAUGGGCGAAAGCCUGACGGAGCAACGGCGCGUGAGUGGUGGAGGUCCUGGGAGCGGAAAAAUCGGUUAUUAGGGAAGAACAUAUGUGUAAGUAACUGUGCACAUCUUGACGGUACCUAAUCAGAAAGCCACGGCUAACUACGUG
rnacentral:rRNA from 1 species